rnacentral:rRNA from 1 species
GACGAACCGUGCGAACGUUGUUCGGAAUCACUGGGCUUAAAGGGCGCGUAGGCGGUCUGCCAAGUCUGGGGUGAAAUCCUCCGGCUCAACCGGAGAACGGCCUCGGAUACUGGCGGUCUCGAGGGAGGUAGGGGCGUGCGGAACUAAGGGUGGAGCGGUGAAAUGCGUUGAUAUCCUUAGGAACUCCGGUGGCGAAGGCGGCACGCUGGACCUCUUCUGACGCUGAGGCGCGAAAGCCAGGGGAGCAAACGGG